rnacentral:rRNA from 1 species
GCGAGUGAAGCGGCAACAGCUCAAAUUUGAAAGCUGGCUCCGGCCCGCAUUGUAAUUUGCAGAGGAUGCUUCUGGCAAGGUGCCUUCCGAGUUCCCUGGAACGGGACGCCACAGAGGGUGAGAGCCCCGUAUGGAUGGACACCAAGCCUGUGUGAAGCUCCUUCAACGAGUCGAGUAGUUUGGGAAUGCUGCUCUAAAUGGGAGGUAAAUCUCUUCUAAAGCUAAAUACCGGCCAGAGACCGAUAGCGCACAAGUAGAGUGAUCGAAAGAUGAAAAGCACCUUGAAAAGGGGGUUAAACAGUACGUGAAAUUGUUGAAAGGGAAGCGCUUGUGACCAGACUUGCGCCGGGCGGCUCAUCAGGGGUUCUCCCCUGUGCACUCCGCCCGGCUCAGGCCAGCAUCGGUUCUCGUGGGAGGAUAAGAACGGUGGGAACGUGGCCCCCUUCCGGGGGGGUGUUAUAGCCCAUCGUACGAUACUCUCGUGGGGACCGAGGUUCGCGCUCCGCAAGGAUGCUGGC